UACAGAGGGGGCAAGCGUUAUUCGGAAUUAUUGGGCGUAAAGGGCGCGUAGGCGGUUCUUCAAGUCUCUCGUGAAAUCCCUCGGCUUAACUGAGGACGUGCGGGAGAUACUGAAGGGCUUGAGUCCGGAAGAGGGUGGUGGAAUUCCCAGUGUAGCGGUGAAAUGCGUAGAUAUUGGGAGGAACAUCGGUGGCGAAGGCGGCCACCUGGGCCGGAACUGACGCUGAGGCGCGAAAGCGUGGGGAGCAAACGGG
rnacentral:rRNA from 1 species